GGGAUUUUGAAGGGCUCGUUCUUGAUGCUGUCAUACAGGUUCUGUGUGGAGGAGAAAAUAACACUAGGACUUGAGGACAGAGAGACGGAGAGGAAGGUAGAGGACCCCUGGGGCAGGGGGAUGGACAGAGAGGAAGGUAGAGGACCCCUGGGGCAGGGGGAUGGACAGAGAGGAAGGUAGAGGACCCCUGGGGCAGGGGGAUGGACAGAGAGGAAGGUAGAGGACCCCUGGGGCAGGGGGAUGGACAGAGAGGAAGGUAGAGGACCCCUGGGGCAGGGGGAUGGACAGAGAGGAAGGUAGAGGACCCCUGGGGCAGGGGGAUGGACAGAGAGGAAGGUAGAGGACCCCUGGGGCAGGGGGAUGGACAGAGAGGAAGGUAGAGGACCCCUGGGGCAGGGGGAUGGACAGAGAGGAAGGUAGAGGACCCCUGGGGCAGGGGGAUGGACAGAGAGGAAGGUAGAGGACCCCUGGGGCAGGGGGAUGGACAGAGAGGAAGGUAGAGGACCCCUGGGGCAGGGGGAUGGACAGAGAGGAAGGUAGAGGACCCCUGGGGCAGGGGGAUGGACAGAGAGGAAGGUAGAGGACCCCUGGGGCAGGGGGAUGGACAGAGAGACGGAGAGGAAGGUAGAGGACCCCUGGGGCAGGGGGAUGGACAGAGAGGAAGGUAGAGGGCCCCUGGGGCAGGGGGAUGGACAGAGAGGAAGGUAGAGGACCCCUGGGGCAGGGGGAUGGACAGAGAGAUGGAGAGGAAGGUAGAGGACCCCUGGGGCAGGGGGAUGGACAGAGAGAUGGAGAGGC